AUUGAACGCUGGCGGCAUGCCUUACACAUGCAAGUCGAACGGUAACGGGCCUUCGGGUGCCGACGAGUGGCGAACGGGUGAGUAAUGCAUCGGAACGUACCUUCAGUGGGGGAUAACGUAGCGAAAGUUACGCUAAUACCGCAUAUUCUGUGAGCAGGAAAGCAGGGGGAUCGCAAGACCUUGCGCUGAUUGAGCGGCCGAUGUCAGAUUAGCUAGUUGGUGAGGUAAAGGCUCACCAAGGCGACGAUCUGUAGCGGGUCUGAGAGGAUGAUCCGCCACACUGGAACUGAGACACGGUCCAGACUCCUACGGGAGGCAGCAGUGGGGAAUUUUGGACAAUGGGGGCAACCCUGAUCCAGCCAUGCCGCGUGAGUGAAGAAGGCCUUCGGGUUGUAAAGCUCUUUCGGCCGGGAAGAAAUCGCAUGGGUUAAUACCCUGUGCGGAUGACGGUACCGGCAUAAGAAGCACCGGCUAACUACGUG
rnacentral:rRNA from 1 species